UAGGGAAUAUUGGUCAAUGGAUGCAAGUCUGAACCAGCCAUGCCGCGUGCAGGAAGAAGGCCUUCUGGGUCGUAAACUGCUUUUGCCGGGGGAUAAAAAGACCAUGCGUGGUUAAUUGAAGGUACCCGGUGAAUAAGCCACGGCUAACUACGUGCCAGCAGCCGCGGUAAUACGUAGGUGGCAAGCGUUGUCCGGAUUUAUUGGGUUUAAAGGGUGCGUAGGUGGUCCUAUAAGUCAGUGCUGAAAUAUCCCGGCUUAACCGGGAGGGUGGCAUUGAUACUGCAGGACUUGAGUAAAGUUGAGGUAGGCGGAAUUGACGGUGUAGCGGUGAAAUGCUUAGAUAUCGUCAAGAACACCUAUUGCGAAGGCAGCUUACUAAGCUUUAACUGACACUGAGGCACGAAAGUGUGGGGAUCAAACAGG
rnacentral:rRNA from 1 species